GUAGGUGGCUAGCGUUGUCCGGAUUUACUGGGCGUAAAGAGCGCGCAGGCGGUCGUUCAAGUCGAGUGUGAAAGCCCCCGGCUCAACUGGGGAGGGUCACUCGAUACUGAUCGACUUGAAGGCGGGAGAGGGAAGCGGAAUUCCCGGUGUAGUGGUGAAAUGCGUAGAUAUCGGGAGGAACACCAGUGGCGAAGGCGGCUUUCUGGCCCGUUCUUGACGCUGAGGCGCGAAAGCUAGGGUAGCAAACGGGAUUAGAUACCCCGGUAGUCCUAGCCGUAAACGAUGGACACUAGGUGUUGGUGGUAUCAACCCCGCCAGUGCCGAAGCUAACGCAUUAAGUGUCCCGCCUGGGGAGUACGGCCGCAAGGCUA
rnacentral:rRNA from 1 species